rnacentral:sRNA from 1 species
AUUCAAAGCAAUGUUUUAAGGAUCGGUGGAGACAGGGUAGCUUGAAGAAUCGCAGACAUCUGUGAGUCAUCUUUAGUGAUUCUUGCUAAAGCGAUUUCUCAAUAGCAGACAUUCAUCGCAAACACUUGAGCAGCUAUGGGUAUAAUUAGAAGUUGCUUCUCUUUCAUAGCAGGGACAGUAUGUGGGGUUUAUUUGGCUCAGAAUUAUCAAGUUCCUAAUAUCAUGAAGUUUGCUGACACUGCCUUGUUCAUGGCAAAAGUUGUGGAGGAAAAAUACCGCAAGCCCAAGAAGAGGGAUGAUGAUGAUGAUGUUUAGUUUGUACUUGGUGCCAUAUUGGAAUCAGAUUCUUGUUUUGUUUUUUCCUUAUAGAAAUCCGUGAUUAUUGGAUCGAAUACCUCAAUUAUAAGAUUUUGGAAAACAUAAAUUGGAAGAUUUUUAUGGAAGCAUAGCAGUUAUAUCCUCAUUAUUUUGUCCUUUCUAAGGAAACAUUCGCAUUCUUCCGCAGUCUUCCUGAUCUGACUCUUGCACUGAGACACAGUUGAUAGGUAUCAUAUACCCAGUUUCUUAAAUCUUGGGAACUAGGAUAAUAAGAUAGCUCCAGGGCAGAAAUCUGUUGUUCAUGGUCAUGAGAGUUGUAUUACCGUUUAUGGGCUUGAUAACAAAUAUUUUUGGUGUGCAUUUGAGUUUCUGGUUUAACUAGUUAACAUGAUGUCCCUACUAUGGUGAACUCUGAUUUUUCAUUUACGCUUAUGCAUUCCAAUGCAUACAGUAACAAGAGUUAAUUGUUAUUGUUGUUUA